rnacentral:lncRNA from 1 species
GUUGGUGAGCCGAGGUUAAAACCAACGGUGUAAGGGUUUGAUUGUGAUUCCGGAAAAACAAUCGGGUGGUUCUAGUCGGUGAGCCUGUGAAAACCGACCGAGUUCGUUGUGAUCUCGUAAAACAACAAGUUGGGUUGUGAACUUGUAAAACAACCGACUGUAAUCCGAGGGAUUAUAGUGAACUCCCAAGUGAGGCUUGGG